UAAAAGUUUGAAGGAUAAUGAGAGAGAAUGAUAUUGUCGUGGUGAAGCUUAGAAGGACAAAAGCUGGCCCCGCCAUUUGUCUUGGGUUUCUGCAUCAUCUCAGCUCUCUCUCUCUCUCUCACUUUGCCUUUACUCCGAAGACAUGCUUCUCUCCAUUAUUACUCUUUAGGGUUAUCAUCGUCAUUUCCCCCUCCUUUAUCCAACAAAUUAACUUAAAAUAUUAAUGGGGACAAUUAACGUUUAAAUUUUUUUUUUUUAAGUUAACUAAGAAGAAAAGGAAAAAUCAAAUCCAAUGGAGCGGGAAGGAUAAUUUCCAAGAUGAGCGGCGAUCAACGCGGUCAAGGGCAUACUGUAAUCCUUUUUUUUUUUUUAAUAAUUUUCAAACAAAGGAAAGAAAUAAGAUUGCAGAAAGAAAUGUCAGCAGAUAAAUAGUCUGACAUAAGACAGUUUCGAAAAAUCUAAUCUCUUCUAUUACCCAUUAAUGAAUAGUACGUUUUUGUUAUAUCUUCUGUAUCUUUCCACUAAGUAAAUACGCGUAGAAUUUAUACAAAGAAUCUACUGAUACAUCAAUUUAUAAAGUCAUUGCUGGUUAGGGUAAAUUCCAUUUCUCGAUAAGUACCUUUUUUGCUCUUUAGAGGAAAAAAAAAUUAGUAGAAAAAGAGAUAAAAAGGAAGAGUUUUUUAGUAGAGACAAGGGAGACGCUGAGAUUACCAAACUCACAAAACCAUCCCUUGACUCUUUUUAUUUCUCCUUCCUAUAUCUUC
rnacentral:lncRNA from 1 species